rnacentral:rRNA from 1 species
CCAGCAGCCGCGGUAAUACGUAGGUCCCGAGCGUUGUCCGGAUUUAUUGGGCGUAAAGCGAGCGCAGGUGGUUUAUUAAGUCUGGUGUAAAAGGCAGUGGCUCAACCAUUGUAUGCAUUGGAAACUGGUAGACUUGAGUGCAGGAGAGGAGAGUGGAAUUCCAUGUGUAGCGGUGAAAUGCGUAGAUAUAUGGAGGAACACCGGUGGCGAAAGCGGCUCUCUGGCCUGUAACUGACAC